UACGUAGGUGGCAAGCGUUGUCCGGAAUUAUUGGGCGUAAAGCGCGCGCAGGCGGUCCUUUUAAGUCUGAUGUGAAAGCCCACGGCUCAACCGUGGAGGGUCAUUGGAAACUGGGGGGACUUGAGUGCAGGAGAGAAGAGUGGAAUUCCACGUGUAGCGGUGAAAUGCGUAGAGAUGUGGAGGAACACCAGUGGCGAAGGCGACUCUUUGGCCUGUAACUGACACUGAGGCAUGAAAGCGUGGGGAGCAAACAGG
rnacentral:rRNA from 1 species